rnacentral:rRNA from 1 species
AGAGUUUGAUCCUGGCUCAGGACGAACGCUGGCGGCGUGCUUAACACAUGCAAGUCGAACGAGAGUAGCAAUACUCUAGUGGCAAACGGGUGAGUAACGCAUGCUCAAUCUACCCAUAAGAGGGAGAUAACUGUUCGAAAGAAUAGCUAAUAUCCCAUAUCAUAUAGAUUCAUAAGAAUUUAUAUCUAAAGUUGCGUUUGCAACGCUUUUGGAUGAGGGUGUGUCUUAUCAGAUAGUUGGUGAGGUAACGGCCCACCAAGUCAAUGACGAGUAGCUGUGCUGAGAGGCAGAACAGCCACAAUGGGACUGAGACACGGUCCAUACUCCUACGGGAGGCAGCAGUGGGGAAGUUUUCACAAUGGGCGAAAGCCUGAUGGAGCAAUCCUGCGUGAAUGAUGAAGGUCUUAUAGAUCGUAAAGUUCUUUUAUUAGGGACGAAUGCCAAGAUUAGGAAAUGAAUUUUGGUUGACUGUACCUUUUGAAUAAGUAACGGCUAACUAUGUGCCAGCAGCCGCGGUAAUACAUAGGUUACAAGCGUUAUCCGGAUUUACUGGGCGUAAAGCGAGCGCAGAUGGAUUUACAAGUCUGGUGUUAAAGACUAACGCUUAACGUUAGCAUGCAUUGGAAACUGUAAAUCUAGAGUUUGGUAGGAAGUUUUAGAACUCCAUGUGGAGCGGUGGAAUGCGCAGAUAUAUGGAAGAAUACCGGUGGUGAAAACGAAAACUUAGGCCACAACUGACAUUUAGGCUCGAAAGUGUGGGGAGCAAAUAGGAUUAGAUACCCUAGUAGUCCACACCGUAAACGAUGGUUGU